rnacentral:sRNA from 1 species
CACGCACGCCGACUAUGUCCUGGAGAUGAACAUGGCCAAGACCAGCCAGACCGUGGCCACCUUCCUAGAUGAGCUGGCGCAGAAGCUGAAGCCCCUGGGGGAGCAGGAGCGUGCGGUGAUUCUGGAGCUGAAGCGUGCGGAGUGCGAGCGCCGGGGCCUGCCCUUCGAUGGCCGCAUCCAUGCCUGGGACAUGCGCUACUACAUGAACCAGGUGGAGGAGACGCGCUACCGCGUGGACCAGAACCUGCUCAAGGAGUACUUCCCCGUGCAGGUGGUCACGCACGGGCUGCUGGGCAUCUACCAGGAGCUCCUGGGGCUGGCCUUCCACCACGAGGAGGGCGCCAGUGCCUGGCAUGAGGACGUGCGGCUCUACACCGCGAGGGACGCGGCCUCGGGGGAGGGAAGGAAAGUACGGGCACGCGGCCUGCUUUGGCCUGCAGCCCGGCUGCCUGCGGCAGGAUGGGAGCCGCCAGAUCGCCAUCGCGGCCAUGGUGGCCAACUUCACCAAGCCCACAGCCGACGCGCCCUCGCUGCUGCAGCAUGACGAGGUAGAGACCUACUUCCAUGAGUUUGGCCACGUGAUGCACCAGCUCUGCUCCCAGGCGGAGUUCGCCAUGUUCAGCGGGACCCACGUGGAGCGGGACUUUGUGGAGGCGCCCUCGCAGAUGCUGGAGAACUGGGUGUGGGAGCAGGAGCCGCUGCUGCGGAUGUCGCGGCACUACCGCACAGGCAGCGCCGUGCCCCGGGAGCUCCUGGAGAAGCUCAUUGAGUCCCGGCAGGCCAAUACAG